UGCUGGUGCUGUCUAUGGUUGAGGCAAAGCGAACAGCUGCUAAGGCAAAGGAGGUGGCUACUGAGCCCUCGAAGGAGGUCAUCAUGGAGGUGCUCUCCCCUAGAUGAAGUGGUUCAGCCUCCCCUGCCUGAUGAGCCUCUCAAUCUCAUCUCAGAGCUGGAGGCAAUCUUUGAUAUCGUGAUCAUGGUCACGAUGGUAGAAGUAGUACUUAUUUGGGUCGCGACGCUUAGGUUUCAUUCGCAUCUUCGGUGUCUAAGGCAGUUCGAUUCGCACCUCCAUCAAUACCUUCUCUCUGAAAAUAUUUAAAGGCGUAUAAUUAGUAUAACGCCUUGAAGGUGAAGGUG
rnacentral:lncRNA from 1 species